rnacentral:rRNA from 1 species
AUACGUAGGUGGCGAGCGUUGCCCGGAAUUACUGGGCGUAAAGGGCGCGUAGGCGGCCUGUUAAGUCAGAUGUGAAAACCCCAGGCUCAGCCUGGGGACUGCAUAUGAAACUGAUGGGCUAGAGUGUCGGAGAGGGAAGCGGAAUUCCUAGUGUAGCGGUGAAAUGCGUAGAUAUUAGGAGGAACACCAGUGGCGAAGGCGGCUUUCUGGACGAUAACUGACGCUGAGGCGCGAAAGCGUGGGGAGCAAACAGGAUUAGAUACCCUGGUAGUCCACGCUGUAAACGAUGGAUACUAGGUGUGGGAGGUAUCGACCCCUUCCGUGCCGCAGUAAACGCAAUAAGUAUCCCGCCUGGGGAGUACGGCCGCAAGGUUGAA